rnacentral:rRNA from 1 species
GUUGGACGCUGGCGGCAUGCCUUACACAUGCAAGUCGAACGGCAGCACGGGAGCAAUCCUGGUGGCGAGUGGCGAACGGGUGAGUAAUAUAUCGGAACGUGCCCAGUAGUGGGGGAUAACUGCUCGAAAGAGCAGCUAAUACCGCAUACGACCUGAGGGUGAAAGGGGGGGAUCGCAAGACCUCUCGCUAUUGGAGCGGCCGAUAUCAGAUUAGCUAGUUGGUGGGGUAAAGGCCUACCAAGGCAACGAUCUGUAGUUGGUCUGAGAGGACGACCAGCCACACUGGGACUGAGACACGGCCCAGACUCCUACGGGAGGCAGCAGUGGGGAAUUUUGGACAAUGGUCGCAAGCCUGAUCCAGCAAUGCAGCGUGCAGGAAGAAGGCCUUCGGGUUGUAAACUGCUUUUGUCAGGGAAGAAAUCCUCUAGGUUAAUACCCUUGGGGGGAUGACGGUACCUGAAGAGUAAGCACCGGCUAACUACGUGCCAGCAGCCGCAGUAAUAC